rnacentral:misc_RNA from 1 species
UCCUGGUUUCCCAGGCAGUCCCAUCAGAGUGCCUUCUUACGAAGUAGCAACUGACGGCAAGGGUUGCGCUCGUUAGAGGACUUAACCCAACAUCUCACGACACGAGCUGACGACGGCCAUGCAGCACCUGUGCAAUCGUCUGGACCGAAGCCCAGAAGACCGUGUUUCCACGGCUGUCAAAAGCAUGUCAAACCUAGGUAAGGUUCCUCGCGUAACGUCGAAUUAAACCACAUGUUCCACCGCUUGUGCGGGCCCCCGUCAAUUUCUUUGAGUUUUAAUCUUGCGACCGUACUCCCCAGGCGGAUCACUUAUCGCGUUAGCUACGACACUAAUCCUGUUAAACAGAACUAACAUCUAGUGAUCAUCGUUUACAGCGUGGACUAC